AUCGGGUAAUGCCGGGCACUCUGGAGGACUGCCAUCGACAAGAUGGAGGAAGUGGGGAUGACGUCAAGUCAUCAUGGCCCUUAUGUCCAGGGCGACACACGUGCUACAAUGGCCGGCACAACGGGAAGCGAGUUCGCGAGGACGAGCGGAUCCCUCAAAGCCGGUCGCAGUUCGGAUUGAAGUCUGCAACUCGACUUCAUGAAGCUGGAAUCGCUAGUAAUCGUGGAUCAGCCAAGCCGCGGUGAAUACGUUCCCGGGCCUU
rnacentral:rRNA from 1 species